rnacentral:rRNA from 1 species
GAAUUGACCUCGGAUCAGGUAGGGAUACCCGCUGAACUUAAGCAUAUCAAUAG